rnacentral:rRNA from 1 species
AGUUAUUAGGGGGGAAUAGUAAUUAUACCUGCUCUAUGCAUAGUAAAUGGCUGCAGUAACUUGACUGUACAAAGGUAGCAUAAUCAAUUGCUUUUUAAUUGGAGGCUGGGAUGAAAGGUGUUGACCGGGAAGAUUGUCUUAGUGGAAAAUUUUGAAUUUUAAUUAGAGAUAAAAAUGUCUUUAUGAACCCCUGGGACGAGAAGACCCUAGAAGCUUUUAGGAGAUAAUUCUUUUGGUUGGGGUGAUUUAUGAAUAUAUUGAACUUUAAAAAAGUGAUUUUGUUAGUAAGUUACUCUAGGGAUAACAGCGUAAUGAGAUUUAAGAGUUCUAAUUAAGAAUUUUGUUUGCGACCUCGAUGUUGAAUUAAAUUUAGGAGGGGUGAAGGAGCUUCUUUAGACUAGUCUGUUCGACUAUUGAAAUUUUACA